CCCUAUGUGACAGCACCCCAUGAUAGUUUGUUCUUAGACGGAAGAUUUGGCCUAUGAAAGUGAUUCGCGCCACCCGGACAGCCACCCCGACCCUGUUUCUCCGUCGGUAAUUCUUAUCGGCUGCACUCCUACACUGGGAAGCCCAUCACUCAGCCUCUGCAUUCGCUCCACCCCUUUCUGAGAAGUAUAUAAACACAAAUCCCUACGUUUAUCUGUCAGUAAUCCUUGUGGCCUGCUGUGUGGUUAUCAUUUCUAUUAAGAGAGCAUUGUAACAAAAAGUUUACAAACUUCGGCUUAUACAUUAUUAUUAAAACAUUUGUUACUAAGCUGCGAAGAUCUUGCUAGGUGAGCUGCUUGGUGUCGAGAAGAAAUAUAAACUGUUUCAGAAAUAUUUCUUCAAAGACAAGUCUCAUAAAGGACAUAGGACCUUGAGAAUUACUUUACAGAAUCAUUUAGUCUUUAUCUGAACCAACAACAAACAAGAGAAAAAGAGUUCGUUCUUUCGUCAAUAAUUUAAAAUCACAAAUGGCUGCUUGUGUCUACCCAAAGCUUAUCACAGUCUCGCUGGCAUUUCUUGUCGUCUUCUUCUGGACCUUCCGAUGCCCAGCAGCUGAGGUCUCCGGGAGGGCGAGAACUCUGCACCUACCAGCUCGCCAUCCCAGUCGGCGGCAACUGCGUGACAGACGGGCCUGCCGUACAGCAAAAGCUAGAAGCCUUGCAGCAAGACAUCCAACACGCCAAGCUGCAGGCUCUGUCGGAGACCAAUGCCCUUCAGGACCAGAUCCACGUCAUAGAGACCAAGGAAUCAAGGGUAGACAACCGCCUGACGGCGCUGGCGAGCGAUGUUUCCAGUGUCCAGGGAGCGGUGACAGGCUCUCGCAAAGAGCAUUGCACAGCUAGCCACUCCAACCACCCGCCGCAACGAUAAUAACGGCAAUGGCAACGGCAAUGGCAACGGCAACCUUCCAAACAAUGAAAUGCUGUUACAGCAGGUGACUGUCAUGAAGAUGCAGCUCACGUCGGCCGUGGAAAAACUGGAAACCGAAAUAUCCAACCUGAAGAACCAACAACAGCAAUCGGUGGAUGCCUCGCAAGUCAACUCCCAGCUUAAGCAGCAACAGAAGGAUAUCGAGAUGCUCAUCCAAAAAGUGUCCAACCUGCAAAGUCUGUCGACUCAGGUGCAGCAACCAGACAGAGCCAGUUCUCACAGCUUGGUGCACUCAUGGGAAACAUGCAGAAAGAUCUGUCUGGCAUUCAGUCUCGCGUAGCCUCUCUCGAAGACAAGAACAAAGAAAUUCAUCAAACGAUGAGCAACCACAGCUUAGCGAUCAGCGAUGCUGCGGCGCAGCUGCAGUUCCUCGCCAACCAGCAGCAAGUCCUGCAGACAAAAAUCACCACCACGUCCACAGAAGUGCAGAACCCUGCUCAGCCUACAAUCUCAGGUUUGAAAGUUAAAGACUUUUUCCCACAAAAAUGUACAAAACGGAGAAGAUACGAUACGAGUAUAUAUGCUGCUGGGGAGCUUUUCGUGCUUUUCUAUUGUUUUUAGACAUGAUCAACGGAUAACAACGAAUACGUUAAUAAGUCUAAUGCUUGUGUCUCACCACAGGUUCAACGUAUCGCCCAGAGCGUCAGUUCACUGGACAGCAAGGUGAAAACAUUGGCACCACCAGCAUGAACACCGUUACACAACACUCGGUGCAAAUAGCGGACCUCAAAACCCAGAUGCAGCUCUUGUCCACCAGGAUCACCAGGCUCAGUGGUGCCAUGCCCACCAAUUUCACCGACGCCCUCUCGUCUCAACCCCGUCGACAUUCCCGUCCCUACCCCUCGACCAAGGGCUGGGCGUUAAACCACUUUUUAACCGGACAAAUAUGGACAGACAUUUGAACAAUUUUGUCUUACAUAAAAGCAGCUCUUAACUGAACAAAGUGUCCGACCUGCCCCAAAGUCCUUGGCAAACAAAUUGAAGAUGGUUCAGCAUAUUGACCAAAAUUCCUUUAUCCCGAGUGUCCACCUCAACACCACGGGUUUCUUGUGACCUUAGUCAAACUUAAGUCCAUAUUUGUCGGGUUAAUAAUGGUUCUUAAACGACAGAAAUUUUCAUUCUGAUCCACGAGUACAAUAACCAAGAGCUUCAAAGUUCCAUGAAGUGUAGCAACAGUUCUGUCAGUAAUCAUACACUUGCGAAACUACAUGUUCUACUCGUUUCAUUCUGAAUGUAACACGUGCUAAAGAAAUUGUAUUUCUCACAUAUUUUUAAUCACCGCAAAGUUUACAUGUAAACAAAUGUUCGUUUUCUUAAGAUCAACGCAAUAGGGGUUUUGGAAAUGCGAGGGAAGAAUGAUAGAGUUAAUAAUUGAUAAUUUUUAUUAUUUACAUUGGAAGGUUGUAUUAACUGCUUUUGAUACCUUUGCUUAAACCAGAAAUAAUUUGAAUACUUAAUUAUAGUAUUUUAUGGCGCGUUUCGCUUUGCCAAACGCAAAUUUUUCGUCUUCUGGGCCACCUAAGUGAAGAUUACAAUGUCAACUUUAAAAGGAACAUUACGAAACACGAUAUUUUGCUUUUAUAACAACAAAAGACCACAAAUAUUUAAAAGCACCAAAUAACUUUUUAACUUACGGCUGUGACAAAAUUCUUGGGAAAAAACGUUAAUAUUUGGCAAAGUACUAGUGUUUUCAUGAAUUGACUAUAAUUUUAUUUUAAUGGGGCUUAUUUAUAACAAAAUGAAUUUUUUCUGAAGCCUUUUGUUCUGUAAAUAUGUAACGACUACAGAUUUACUUGAAUCAUAAAGUACAAAAUCGCUCAUCUGUAGUCGGCAAUGGUUUAAUGUGCAGCAAUGAUAUCUUCACCCUCAGGUUCCGAUAUGUUGUGAUUUUUAUUUAAACCCCACUAUUUCAUGAAAUGAUGUUUGUAGAUUUCUAGUCAAAAGAAUGUGACAGUCAAUGUUAUAGACUGAAAUAAUUAUUUUUAAAAUAUUACCACUGUACGCAGACUUGUUAUAAUCACUGAUUUUACAAAAAAAAUCACUGGAUCGGAAUAAAUGCACCUAUGAAAUUAA
rnacentral:lncRNA from 1 species